rnacentral:lncRNA from 1 species
CCCAUUUUAAUUGCCUUUUAUGCUUCCUAAAAUUGCUCUAACGGUUCUUUUUCUACCUAAUAUGUUUUCUCUUGCUUCUAACGCUAUAAAAUGUUUCAAAUGGUGAAAGAAAUUACAGAUCAAUCGGCAGAUCAAACGAGAGAUCAAAAUCAUUGAGAGGAUCCAAAAAUAUACGCAAAGUGAUCAACGAGAUAUUUGAGAGAAAAAGAAAAGAGGAUCCAAAAUCCAUACGAG